rnacentral:ncRNA from 1 species
CCUACUGAGUUUAAGCAUAUAAUUAAGUAGAGGAAAAGAAACUUACAAGGAUUCCCCUAGUAACGAUGAGUGAACAGGGAAGAGCCCAACAUGAAAAUUGGGUGGCAGCAUCACCUGAAUUGUAGUCUAUAGAAGCAUCCUUAGCAGCAGACAGGGCCCAAGUCCCCUAGAAGGGGGUGCCUGAGAGGGUGACAGCCUCAUCGAGUCAGGACCCUGCUGCACCAUGAGGCAUUUUCGGUGAGUAAGGUUGUUUGGGAAUGCAGUCCUAAUCGGGUGGUAAACUCCAUCCAAGGCUAAAUACGAGUGAGAGACCAAUAGAGAAAAAGUAUCAUGAGGGAAAUAUGAAAAGGAAUUUGAAAAUACAGUUAAAGAGUGCUUGAAAUUACCGGGAGGGAAGCGGAUGGAGGCCGAAGAUGCAUCUCGGUCGGAUGCGGAAUGGCUCAAGCUGGUUUACCGCUCGACUUCAGGUGUGAACCAACAUAGGUCAUUGCAUUCACACAAGCAUGAGCGGAGUACUGCCUAUUGGUUUGUCAUUGUGGCAGUUGAGGAAUGAAGCGUGCACCCUUGGGGAGGGCCACUAUGCACCUGCACGCUCAUGGUGUUGGUUGGCGGGAUUUCCAUUUGACCCAUCUUGAAACAUGG